CCGAGAGUAGUCUAUUAAUAAAUCCAUUAGAAUAACGUAACAAUGUAGGUAUAGGUAUAAAGGAGAUAUUAAUCUUGUCUCAUCACGAGAAUAUCUAGGGUUGCCACCAUGGCAAACUGUUUCUAUUAGCCUGUGGAUUGAAUCUACGUAACUCUA